rnacentral:tRNA from 1 species
GAGGGUGUAGCUCAGUGGUAGAGUGUAUGCUUAGCAUGUUUGAGGACCUGGGUUCAAUCCCCAGUACCUCCA